rnacentral:rRNA from 1 species
GAUGAACGCUGGCGGCGUGCCUAAUACAUGCAGGUCGAGCGAACGGACGAGAAGCUUGCUUCUCUGAUGUUAGCGGCGGACGGGUGAGUAAUACGUGGAUAACCUACCUAUAAGACUGGGAUAACUUCGGGAAACCGGAGCUAAUACCGGAUGAUAUUUUGAACGGCAUGGUUCAAAAGUGAAAGACGGUCUUGCUGUCACUUAUAGAUGGAUCCGCGCUGCAUUAGCUAGUUGGUAAGGUAACGGCCUACCAAGGCAACGAUGCAUAGCCGACCUGAGAGGGUGAUCGGCCACACUGGAACUGAGACACGGUCCAGACUCCUACGGGAGGCAGCAGUAGGGAAUCUUCCGCAAUGGGCGAAAGCCUGACGGAGCAACGCCGCGUGAGUGAUGAAGGUCUUCGGAUCGUAAAACUCUGUUAUUAGGGAAGAACAUAUGUGUAAGUAACUGUGCACAUCUUGACGGUACCUAAUCAGAAAGCCCCGGCUAACUACGUG